rnacentral:rRNA from 1 species
GAUGAACGCUAGCGAUAGGCCUAACACAUGCAAGUCGAGGGGCAGCAUAGAGUAGCAAUACUUUGAUGGCGACCGGCGCACGGGUGAGUAACACGUAUGCAACCUACCUACAUCAGGGGAAUAACCCGGAGAAAUUCGGACUAAUACCGCAUAAUACAGGGAUGCCGCAUGGCAAUAUUUGUUAAAGAUUUAUCGGAUGUAGAUGGGCAUGCGUUCCAUUAGCUUGUUGGUGAGGUAACGGCUCACCAAGGCAACGAUGGAUAGGGGAACUGAGAGGUUUGUCCCCCACACUGGAACUGAGACACGGACCAGACCCCUACGGGAGGCAGCAGUGAGGAAUAUUGGUCAAUGGACGAGAGUCUGAACCAGCCAAAUCGCGUGAAGGAAGACUGCCCUACGGGUUGUAAACUUCUUUUGUACAGGAAUAAAAGACAUUACGUGUAAUGUAUUGCAUGUACUGUACGAAUAAGCAUCGGCUAACUCCGUGCCAGCAGCCGCCGUAA